GGUCUGGAGUCUUUACAAGCCAAACCCUGCUCAUUCCACAAAGGAAAAGGAGAGGCAACACCCAAGAAGCUUGUGUGCUGAAGGACUAGUGUUAAGGAGGAAACAGUUUCAGGAGGGGGCAGGAAGAGAGAGAAUCACCUUGGGAAAAAGUAGCACCCAGAGGCUUUGUGCUAGGCGGCAUUGUGCUAGGUAACGUUCACACACCUAGCAAGAGACAGUCCCUGGCCCGGAGAGCAUGCUAUCGAAAUAAAGACCACGAAAGGUGACUUUGGUCUUGGAGGUCAAAAGCAACCAAGUCUGGUCAGCUGCUUUGCUUUGUCUGUUUCCAGUGGACAGAAUUGAAAAGUGGAGACAUGACCUUCAGAGAACACAAUUAUUAUUUUUU